GCUUUUACAGAGUCAAGUACCUGUACCUUUGGAUGAUCCCAGAGACUGAAUUACCAUCCAAAGGGCAAGCAUGGGCUGGACCUAGGACCCCUGCAUGUAUAUGCAGCAGAUGAUAAAGAAAAUGAAGACAAUUGGAUGUUAGUUGUUACACCACAGGAUCAAGUUAUAUCAGCUACAGCGGAUCAAAGCAUGAAGGGCUAUCAUGUGAACUCGUGGACAAGAGAUAGCACAAUGCCUGUGUGUCUAUAGAUAACCUGAAUACCAUCCGAAAUAUCAAUAACAUCAUUAAUGAAGAAAA